UCCGCGAAAUAGAGACACAGGUUCACUUAAUAUUUCCGUAUUUGCGAAAUCAACCAACUGAAAUCGAACAAAAAUGUGUACCGAGAGUGUUCACUGCAAAUUAAAAAACAAUUAAAUGAAUUACAAAUAAUGAUCGUUCGCAGAGUGAAAUCUAAAAUAAAAGAAAACGUUCGCAGACGAAUCGAAAAUAACGAUUGAAACUUCCGAUUGACGAAAAUUAAGACGAGGACAGAGAGGGUGAUUGCUUCAAUUACCAAUUGCGAACGACCUAGUCGCAAUUAGGCACCUGCGACGAGACGGCGAACAAUCGUCGAACAGUUCGCGAGCUAUUCGCGAACUUCGUUCAACUCGUUAUACAUAUAUAGCGAUCGCCCACUAUCGCGUGACACAUUAUUCGACAUGAUUGGUCGUCGUACUGAUGUCGAAAUGAUCGAAUUGUCGAAACGAAUUAUCGAAAUGAAACCUUCGAAGAUGAAUUAGCAAAUGAAAAAAGCAAUUGUUAUUCGACUAAUAAAACAUUCGACCGAGAAAGUAUUCGUUCGAACGAUCGUCCGUCUUUACGCCGACGCGAGUACUAUAAAUAAAUCCUGUCGGACGGGGGUGCCAAAAUCCGUGGAAUAAAUGGUCUUUAUGGUUUCGUUGGCGAAAAAGAACCCGAGGAAAAAUGGCCAAUAAAAAGGCUAUCCUAUAAUCCUGCGACUAAACCCACCGACACUUUUGCGUCCGAAAUAUACUGCGUUCUCAAAAUAGUCGAAGGACAGACAAAAGAGGGUGGUAAUGAACGUGGGUCGACCGCGGCACGGAUGCAAAAAUUCCAGAAAAUCGUCGAAACAAAACGGUCACGUGGCUCGGGCUUUUGCACGCGGUCCAAUGGAAUCCUGUUUUCCGAUGAUGUAGAUGAUAACGUGACUGUUUAAGUGCGACUACCGUCGUGAAAUCACCAUGUACGAUUCGACCCCAAAGGCCAUGCGCGAGACGGAAGCAUAUAUAUCAUAGUCAUCUUGGCAAAAAAAAAGAAAAACAAGAACACAAUUCAAGUAAAUCCAGUUUUUUAUAUCACGUUACAUCCUAAAAAAAUGUGUUUAGCGUCUUUAGUUCACAGUUUCCUAGACACAUUAAUUAGAAUGCUUGACUUCGUGAGACGAUUAGUCCGGGAAAAAAGGAGAGACAAUAAUACAUGUAUUUUCGUCGAGAAGGUUCAUCGUUCGAGUGUGUGUACCUUGCGGACACACGUGUCAGAGGUCCAAGAUCAUCGUUUGACAUCGCGUGCGUGCGUGCGUGUUUGUAUGUGUGUGUGUUUGCACGUCUUCUUCCGACGCGCAAACAAGUCGGCAUUUUGUCUCGCCGUGGCACACGUGCGCCUCGAGAACAAAAGUCGUGAAAAACGUCGAUCAUUCGACACAACACGUUUGCGGUGAGAUCAUUCGCAUUGUCGGUAGACCACGGAUGGUUCGUGGAAAGUAAAAAGUACAAGUAAAGGGCUCCCGGGAAUGUCUUGGAAUAACCGACGGUCAUCGAAAAUGCACGGCCGGCGUUCGCAACACCCGUUAAUUAUUCCCGCAGAAACGUGCAUCGCGCAGAAGAUUCCGGCCGAUCGGCUAAUAUAUUUGGGAUUAUGGUAAAUAAAUUAGUGCACGGACAGCCGAUUCUCGGGCUGAUUUAUCCGCCGUCGUUUAUCAGGGUUUACGAUGAGUGCAGCCUGUGUUCUAUCAUGCCACCGACCUAUCAAGGUGAACGCCUCUUACGAUGAAAUAGUGCUCGGCGAGAUACGUUGCCGAAGAUCGAAGCAUAUUUUCGUUGCACGGGAGCAGAUAAACGCACACGAGGUAUACGACUGAUCGUGAUUUAUAUGUAUAGCAAUUUAUGCUUCGUUAACGCUGAAUCGUACCCCCGGCCGUCCCGAACAUCCUAACAUAACUCGGAUUUUUCGAAUCUAUUCCGAUAAGAAUGAAUUUUGCAAACUAGUAAAAAAUUAAUAAACGAUAGUAAAUAUA